UACAGAGGCCUCGAGCGUUAGGCGGAAUCACUGGGCUUAAAGCGUGUGUAGGUGGAUGCCUAAGUACCUUGUGAAAUCCCACAGCUUAACUGUGGAAUUGCUUGGUAUACUGGGUGUCUUGAGCCACUCAGGGGCUACCGGAACAAGCGGUGGAGCGGUGAAAUGCGUAGAUAUCGCUUGGAACGCCAAAGGUGAAAACAGGCUGCUGGGGUUGUGCCGACGCUGAGACACGAAAGCCAGGGGAGCAAACGGG
rnacentral:rRNA from 1 species